UACAGAGGUCUCAAGCGUUGUUCGGAUUCAUUGGGCGUAAAGGGUGCGUAGGCGGCGCGGUAAGUCGGGUGUGAAAUCUCGGGGCUUAACUCCGAAACUGCAUUCGAUACUGCCGUGCUUGAGGACUGGAGAGGAGACUGGAAUUUACGGUGUAGCGGUGAAAUGCGUAGAUAUCGUAAGGAAGACCAGUGGCGAAGGCGGGUCUCUGGACAGUCCUGACGCUGAGGCACGAAGGCCAGGGGAGCAAACGGGGAUU
rnacentral:rRNA from 1 species